UACGUAGGGUGCAGGCGUUAAUCGGAAUUACUGGGCGUAAAGAGCUCGUAGGCGGUUUGUUGCGUCUGCCGUGAAAGUCCGGGGCUCAACUCCGGAUCUGCGGUGGGUACGGGCAGACUAGAGUGAUGUAGGGGAGACUGGAAUUCCUGGUGUAGCGGUGAAAUGCGCAGAUAUCAGGAGGAACACCGAUGGCGAAGGCAGGUCUCUGGGCAUUAACUGACGCUGAGGAGCGAAAGCAUGGGGAGCGAACAGG
rnacentral:rRNA from 1 species